rnacentral:tRNA from 1 species
GCAUCGAUGGCUCAGUGGUAGAGCAGAGGUCUCGUAACUGGGAGGACCCAGGUUUGAAACCAAGUCGAUGCA